CCCUUAGAUGUCCUGGGCCGCACGCGCGCUACACUGACUGGUGCAACAAGUGUCGCUCCUUGGCCGAUAGGCCUGGGCAAUCUUUGAACGCCAGUCGUGAUGGGGAUAGAUUCUUGCAAUUUUUGAUCUUCAACGAGGAAUUCCUAGUAAACGCGAGUCAUCAACUCGCAUUGAUUACGUCCCUGCCCUUUGUACACACCGCCCGUCGCACCUACCGAUUGAAUGGUCCGGUGAACCCUCCGGAUCGGCCCGCGCCAACGCAAGUUGAGCAAAGGCCGAGAAGUUGGGUAAACCUUACCAUUUAGAGGAAGGUGAAGUCGUAACA
rnacentral:rRNA from 1 species